rnacentral:rRNA from 1 species
GACGAACGCUGGCGGCGUGCUUAACACAUGCAAGUCGAACGGAAAGGCCCUGCUUUUGUGGGGUGCUCGAGUGGCGAACGGGUGAGUAACACGUGAGUAACCUGCCCUUGACUUUGGGAUAACUUCAGGAAACUGGGGCUAAUACCGGAUAGGAGCUCCUGCUGCAUGGUGGGGGUUGGAAAGUUUCGGCGGUUGGGGAUGGACUCGCGGCUUAUCAGCUUGUUGGUGGGGUAGUGGCUUACCAAGGCGUUGACGGGUAGCCGGCCUGAGAGGGUGACCGGCCACAUUGGGACUGGGAUACGGCCCAGACGCCUACGGGAGGCAGCAGUGGGGAAUAUUGCACAAUGGGCGGAAGCCUGAUGCAGCAACGCCGCGUGCGGGAUGACGGCAUUCGGGUUGUAAACCGCUUUCGCCUGUGACGAAGCGUGAGUGACGGUAAUGGGUAAAGAAACACCGGCUAACUACGU